UGUGAUCGUAUACGUAGGUAACCUGGCACAACCGCGCACGUCCAUUCUUGUCACGUCCGUUUCUCGUCCGUGGAGUUCUUUCAUUUUGCUGGAGACACUUGGACGCGCAAUUCUCGCGCACGUCAACGUGUGAGACGCCACCCGUAGCGUUUCACAGGCAUCAUCAGACGGUCCAAUACAAGCUAUUUUGUUUCAAAUUCUUACUAUAGUCUUAGUUAUACACACACACGAUGCACGUAAAUGUAUAGAUUUUGUUUUUGAGGUAAACGUUUAACUAUACUAGUAUAGUAGUAUUGCCACAUGAAUCCAUGAUGCCUCGUUACCAACCUUCCCCAAAUCCAGUCGUCGCAGUCGAACUGUAUUUUUCCAAGUAUUUUUUUGGUAGUUUUGUGCAGGCUUGCUAUAAUUGAUAACCGUGUGCAUAUUAUUGAUGAUUUUAUUUUAUUUUAAUUUUCUACUAGAGGUAGUAGUUGAAAGGUACGGAUACGGAGUAUAUAUAUAUGCAUGCCAUGGAUGGAACCUGCACGGACAUGACGCCGGCCUUCUUCUUGGGCACGAGCGGCUCGACGCUCUCGUCCGGCAGGCCCAGGCGCAGGUCCCGCAGCACGGUGCCGUCGGCGGCCGCCUCCGCGACGUCCACGCCGCGGCCGCUGCACAGCAGCUCCGGCUCGCCCGCCGCGUUGGCCACCACCUCCCCGGCCAGCGGGUAGUACGCCACCAGCGUCUUGGCCAGCGCCGCCUUGAGGACGGCGGCGACCGGCUGGUGGCUGCGGCCGCCCGCGGGGUCCGCGUCAUAGCAGAAGAAGACGCCGACGUCGAUGGGCGGCAGGAUGAGGUCCAGGUUCGACAGCGGCAGUCGGUGCUCCUGCAUGGGCAGCGCCGGUGCCACCGUCGAGACGGCCGCGACGGUCACCGUCGAGACGCGUUCCUGCUUGACCAUGUUGCGAGCGACGAGUGUGUGCGGUGUGCCCCAGAGAGGGACAGGGUAGAGAGCACAGAGCAGGGAGAGCGCGAGGGAGAAAGUCAGAAGGGAGCAC
rnacentral:misc_RNA from 1 species